UGGGUAACCCACCCCGAUGACCGGGACAACCCGAGGAAACUCGGGCUAAUACCGGAUGAGUUCUUCUCCCUUGAGGGAGACGAGGAAAGAUAGCUUCGGCCUUCGCAUCGGGACGGGCCCGCGGCGCAUUAGCUUGUUGGUGGGGUAACGGCCUACCAAGGCGACGAUGCGUAGCUGGUCUGAGAGGACGAUCAGCCACACUGGGACUGAGACACGGCCCAGACUCCGUACGGGAGGCAG
rnacentral:rRNA from 1 species